GUUCCAAGCUAGUACGGGCGCACGGUGGAUGCCUUGGCGCCAAGGGCCGAUGAAGGACGCUGUCGGCGGCGAAAGGGCCGGGGAGGUGCCGAGCAACCGUCGAUCCGGCCGUCUCCGAAUGGGGAAACCCCCCGCGGGUCAUACCGCGGGACCCACCGCUGAAUCCAUAGGCGGUGUGGAGGGCACCCCGGGAACUGAAACAUCUUAGUACCGGGAGGAAGAGAAAUCAACCGAGAUUCCCCUAGUAGUGGCGAGCGAACGGGGAACAGCCCAAACCGCGCGGGCGCGGAAGCCCGCAGGCGUUGUCCGCGCGGGGUUGCAGGGCGCCAUCGGGCCGGGCUGCGGACCGGCCGGGAAGUGAGCAAUCCUCGCCGUAGCCGAACUGUCCUGGAACGGCAGGCGAUACAGGGUGACAGCCCCGUAGGCGACACGGCGAGGACUUCCUGGGUGGCGUUCCUGAGUACCACGGGACACGAGGAAUCCCGUGGGAAGCCGGGAGGACCACCUUCCAAGGCUAAACACCCUUGGCGACCGAUAGUGCACGAGUACCGUGAGGGAAAGGUGAAAAGAACCCCGGGAGGGGAGUGAAAUAGAACCUGAAACCGUGUGCCCACAAUCAGUCGGAGGGCUAUGCCGAUCCUUCGGGAUCGGAAUGCCUGACGGCGUGCCUAUUGAAGAAUGAGCCGGUGAGUUGUCGCGUGUGGCGAGCCUAAGGCCGGCGACGGCCGGAGGCGGAGGGAAACCGAGUCUGAACAGGGCGCACCCCUGUUGGGGCCCCCGGUCCGCCGCGAGGCGGGCCGGGGUGGAGUCGCACGCGGCAGACCCGAAACCGGGUGAGCUACCCCUGGCCAGGGUGAAGCGGAGUUAACCCUCCGCGGAGGCCCGCACCCGUUGGUGUUGAAAAACCAUGGGAUGAGCUGGGGGUAGGGGUGAUAUGCCAACCGAACCCGGAGAUAGCUGGUUCUCCCCGAAAGGCAUUGAGGUGCCGCCUCGGCGCCGAGCCGCGCGGUGGUAGAGCUCUGGAUGGGCUAGGGCGGGAGGACCCGUACCGAACCCAACCAAACUUCGAAUGCCGCGCGGUGCUCGCCGGGAGUGAGUCCGUGAGGGAUAAGCUUCAUGGACGAGAGGGGAACAACCCAGACCGCCAGCUAAGGUCCCCAAAUGGUGGCUAAGUGGGAAAGGAAGUGGCACCGCCCAGACAGCCAGGAGGUUGGCUUAGAAGCAGCCAUCCUUUAAAGAGUGCGUAACAGCUCACUGGUCGAGUGGUGCUGCGCCGAAAAUUCAACGGGGCUCAAGCCGCCUACCGAAGCUGCGGAUCCGGUGCGGGUGUCGUCCCGCGCUGGGUGGUAGGGGAGCGUUCCGCGCCAGGGUGAAGGCAGACCGGAAGGACUGCUGGACGAGGCGGAAGUGCGACUGCCGGCAUGAGUAGCGAAAAGACAGGUGAGAAUCCUGUCCGCCGUAAGGCCAAGGAUUCUUACGGAAGGUUCGUCCGCGUAAGGUUAGGCGGGACCUAAGGCGAGGCCGACAGGCGUAGCCGAUGGACAGCCGGUCGACAUUCCGGCCCCGCUCCGUACCCGUUAUCGAGCCACGGGGGGACGCAGGAGGGUAGGCCUACCGGGUGCUGGUCGUCCCGGGUUAAGCGGGUAGGCGGGGGAUCUAGGCAAAUCCGGAUCCCCGUUAACGCCGAGACGCGAACACGAGCCCGAGCGCAUGCGAGGGCGAAGUGGCUGAGCCCACACUGACGAGAAAAGCCUCGUGGUGAGGGUGCGGGGCGCCCGUACCGGAAACCGACACAGGUGGCCAGGCACGCAACGUGCCAAGGCGCGCGAGAGAACUCUCGUCAAGGAACUCGGCAAAAUGACCCCGUAACCUCGGGAGAAGGGGUGCCCUGGUAGGGUGACCGCGCGCAGCGGGAGCCCGAAGGGGUCGCAGAGAAUAGGCUCAGCCGACUGUUUAACAAAAACACAGGUCUCUGCUAAGCCGCAAGGCGACGUAUAGGGGCUGACGCCUGCCCAGUGCCGGAAGGUUAAAGGGAGGGGUUAGUCCGGGGGCGACCCCGGGCGACGCCCCAAACUGAAGCCCCGGUGAACGGCGGCCGUAACUAUAACGGUAAUCCCACGCUACCGGGAUGGCCGUUGGAAAAUCCGGCUAUAUGCUGGGACGGCUGUGGAUGUCAUGGUACCGAGGAGGUGACAACCCAUGACUGCAGCCUAUCAGCAGGAAAGGCUGUCUGCUACCGAAGCGCAGCGAUGGUUCCUCGCCGGUUUCAUCGAAGGCGAGGGCUCCGUCACGGUGUCCAUCAAGGAGGAUCCGACGGCGCAGUUCGGGUAUUACGUGGAUCCCGAGUUCCUUCUCUACCAGCAUCGGGAGUACCCGCAGAUGCUCGAGCUGGCGCGGCGGAUCUUCGGCACGGGUCGCAUCCGUCCCAAGCCCGGCGACGACCGGGUAUGGGAGUUUGCGAUCACGAGCCGGCGGAGCCUGGCGGAAAAGGUGGUGCCCUUCCUGCGCAAGUACAUGGUGUACUCUCCCCGGCGCGAGAUCUACGAGCGAUUCUGCGCUAUCGUGGAGGCCAUGGAACGCAAGGAGCACCGCACGCCGGACGGGGUGGCGCGUAUCGUCGAGCAGGCGUACGCGUUGAACCCCGCUGCCAAGGGCACGGCCCGGAAGCGGGCCGUGUCGGCGGUAGUAGGCAGAAUCCUCAGAGACUAUACGCCGGACCCGCGAUCAGGCGGGAAGAGAUAGUCCGUCCUGCAUGGCGACAUGCAGAUUAACACCGAGCCUAAGGUAGCGAAAUUCCUUGUCGGGUAAGUUCCGACCUGCACGAAUGGCGUAACGAGCUGAGCGCUGUCUCGACGAGAGACUCGGCGAAGUUGUGCGGCCUGUGAAGACACAGGCUACCCGCAGCUGGACGGAAAGACCCCGUGAAGCUUUACUGCAGCUUGUCAUUGGAUUUGGUCUUACCAUGCAGAGGAUAGGUGGGAGGCUGAGAAGCCGGGGCUCCGGCCUCGGUGGAGCCGCCCUUGGAAUACCACCCUUGGCAAGGCUAAGUCCUAACCGGGGACCUCACCGGUUUCCGGGACAGUGGCAGGUGGGCAGUUUGACUGGGGCGGUCGCCUCCUAAACGGUAACGGAGGCGCCCAAAGGUCCCCUCAGCACGGUUGGAAACCGUGCGGCGAGUGUAAGGGCAUAAGGGGGCUUGACUGUGAGGCCGACAAGCCGAGCAGGGACGAAAGUCGGGCCUAGUGAUCCUACGGCGGCAAGUGGAAGCGCCGUGGCUUAACGGAUAAAAGCUACUCCGGGGAUAACAGGCUGAUCUCCCCCAAUAGUCCACAUAGACGGGGAGGUUUGGCACCUCGAUGUCGGCUCAUCGCAUCCUGGGGCUGCAGUAGGUCCCAAGGGUUGGGCUGUUCGCCCAUUAAAGCGGUACGUGAGCUGGGUUCAGAACGUCGUGAGACAGUUCGGUCCCUAUCCACUGCGGGCGCAGGUGGCUUGAGGGGAGCUGCUCCUAGUACGAGAGGACCGGAGUGGACGGACCUCUGGCGUACCGGUUGUCCUGCCAAGGGCACGCGCCGGGUACCUAUGUCCGGACGGGAUAAGCGCUGAAAGCAUCUAAGCGCGAAGCCCACCCCAAGAUGAGGCCACCCACCGGGUCAACCGGGUAAGCCCCCAGGAAGACGACCUGGUUGAUAGGCCGGAGGUGUAAGCGCCGCAAGGCGUUGAGCUGACCGGUACUAAUCGGGCGAGGGCUUGAUCAC
rnacentral:rRNA from 1 species